rnacentral:sRNA from 15 species
GUAGGGGACACUUCCCACUGAGGGUUUCCCGGCGUAAGUUCCUGAACAAUUUGCGGAAAUUGGUGUGGGUCGUAUUGUCCCCCCCUCUCCGCCAGAUUGAGGCGAGUAGGUGCGCCAGUGCCGCGUGGGUUUCGCCGGCGGCAUUGGGGGGUGAGA